GAUGAACGCUGGCGGCGUGCUUAACACAUGCAAGUCGAACGGAAAGGCCCUGCUUUUGUGGGGUGCUCGAGUGGCGAACGGGUGAGUAACACGUGAGUAACCUGCCCUUGACUUUGGGAUAACUUCAGGAAACUGGGGCUAAUACCGGAUAGGAGCUCCUGCUGCAUGGUGGGGGUUGGAAAGUUUCGGCGGUUGGGGAUGGACUCGCGGCUUAUCAGCUUGUUGGUGGGGUAGUGGCUUACCAAGGCUUUGACGGGUAGCCGGCCUGAGAGGGUGACCGGCCACAUUGGGACUGAGGUACGGCCCAGACUCCUACGGGAGGCAGCAGUGGGGAAUAUUGCACAAUGGGCGGAAGCCUGAUGCAGCAACGCCGCGUGCGGGAUGACGGCCUUCGGGUUGUAAACCGCUUUCGCCUGUGACGAAGCGUGAGUGACGGUAAUGGGUAAAGAAGCACCGGCUAACUACGUG
rnacentral:rRNA from 1 species